GACGAACGCUGGCGGCGUGCCUAAUACAUGCAAGUCGAGCGGACGGAUGGGAGCUUGCUCCCAGACCGUCAGCGGCGGACGGGUGAGUAACACGUGGGCAACCUGCCUGUAAGACUGGGAUAACUCCGGGAAACCGGGGCUAAUACCGGAUAACUCUUUCCCUCACAUGAGGGAAAGCUGAAAGAUGGCAUCUCGCUAUCACUUACAGAUGGGCCCGCGUCGCAUUAGCUAGUUGGUGAGGUAACGGCUCACCAAGGCGACGAUGCGUAGCCGACCUGAGAGGGUGAUCGGCCACACUGGGACUGAGACACGGUCCAGACUCCUACGGGAGGCAGCAGUAGGGAAUCUUCGGCAAUGGACGAAAGUCUGACGGAGCAACGCCGCGUGAGUGAUGAAGGUUUUCGGAUCGUAAAACUCUGUUGUCAGGGAAGAACAAGUACCGGAGUAACUGCCGGUACCUUGACGGUACCUGACCAGAAAGCCACGGCUAACUACGUG
rnacentral:rRNA from 1 species